ACAACUGGCAUUACCUAGUACGGCGAGUGAGCGGGAAGAGCUCAAAUUUGAAAUCUGGUGGCCUCAGGGCAUCAGAGGUGUAAUCUAUAAAAACGUUUUCCGUGCUGGCUCAUGUACAAGUCCCUUGGAACAGGGCGUCAUAGAGGGUGAGAAUCCCGUCCUUGACAUGAACUACCAGUGCUCUGUGAUACGUUUUCAACGAGUCGAGUUGUUUGGGAAUGCAGCUCAGAAUGGGUGGUAAAUUCCAUCUAAAGCUAAAUAUUGGCGAGAGACCGAUAGCGAACAAGUACCGUGAGGGAAAGAUGAAAAGCACUUUGGAAAGAGAGUUAAACAGUAUGUGAAAUUGUUAAAAGGGAAACGAUUGAAGUCAGUCGUGCUCUUUGGAUUCAGCCGGUUCUGCCGGUGUACUUCCAUUGAGUGGGGUCAACAUCAGUUUUGAUCGCUGGAUAAAGGCAGGAAGAAUGUAGCACCUCCAGGUGAACUUAUAGCUUUCUGUCACAUACAGUGGUUGGGACUGAGGAACGCAGCAUGCCUUUAUGGCCGGGAUUCGUCCACGUACAUGCUUAGGAUGUUACAUAAUGGAUAUAACGACCCGUCUUGAACAACGGACCAAUUAAUUAA
rnacentral:rRNA from 1 species